AGAGUUUGAUCCUGGCUCAGGAUGAACGCUGGCGGCGUGCCUAACACAUGCAAGUCGAACGGAGUUCUUAAGGAAUGCGACUUCGGUCAAAUGACUUUUGAACUUAGUGGCGGACGGGUGAGUAACGCGUGAGCAACCUGCCUUUCAGAGGGGGAUAACAUUUGGAAACAGAUGCUAAUACCGCAUAAGAUUACAGUACCGCAUGAUACAGUGAUCAAAGGAGCAAUCCGCUGAAAGAUGGGCUCGCGUCCGAUUAGAUAGUUGGUGAGGUAACGGCUCACCAAGUCGACGAUCGGUAGCCGGACUGAGAGGUUGAACGGCCACAUUGGGACUGAGACACGGCCCAGACUCCUACGGGAGGCAGCAGUGGGGAAUAUUGCACAAUGGGCGAAAGCCUGAUGCAGCAACGCCGCGUGAGGGAAGACGGUUUUCGGAUUGUAAACCUCUGUUUUCGGUGACGAACAAAUGACGGUAACCGAGUAGGAAGCCACGGCUAACUACGUGCCAGCAGCCGCGGUAAUACGUAGGUGGCAAGCGUUAUCCGGAAUUACUGGGUGUAAAGGGAGCGCAGGCGGGAUAGCAAGUCAGCUGUGAAAACUAUGGGCUCAACCCAUAAACUGCAGUUGAAACUGUUAUUCUUGAGUGGAGUAGAGGCAAGCGGAAUUCCGAGUGUAGCGGUGAAAUGCGUAGAUAUUCGGAGGAACACCAGUGGCGAAGGCGGCUUGCUGGGCUCUAACUGACGCUGAGGCUCGAAAGUGUGG
rnacentral:rRNA from 1 species